rnacentral:rRNA from 1 species
UGGGGAAUAUUGGACAAUGGGGGCAACCCUGAUCCAGCAAUGCUGCGUGUGUGAAGAAGGCCCUCGGGUUGUAAAGCUCUUUCGGACGGAACGAAAUGGUUACGGAUAAUACCUGUGACUGAUGACGGUACUGUAAGAAGAAGCACCGGCUAACUACGUGCCAGCAGCCGCGGUAAUACGUAGGGUGCGAGCGUUAAUCGGAAUUACUGGGCGUAAAGCGUGCGCAGGCGGUUCGCCAAGUCAGGUGUGAAAUCCCCGGGCUUAACCUGGGAAUUGCGCUUGAAACUAGCGGGCUUGAGUGUGGCAGAGGGGGGUGGAAUUCCACGUGUAGCAGUGAAAUGCGUAGAGAUGUGGAGGAACACCGAUGGCGAAGGCAGCCCCCUGGGUCAACACUGACGCUCAUGCGCGAAAGCGUGGGGAGCAAACAGGAUUAGAUACCCCCGUAGUCCCUGAGCGGGCUGGCAAGGCGCAU